UCAUUUUAAACCCAAACUAUGUUGCAACAGUAGAUAAGCUGUUCCUUUUUAAAACUGGAGGGUCAAUCCUUUCCCACUGAUCAAGGAGUGAAGUCAGUGGACUCUGUGAGGCGUGGUUCAUGAGGUUUCCCAUGCCUAGUCUUGGAGCUUAUAGAGAGAGACAACUGGAUCUUUAAGAUGACAUCCCAUGCAGAAGGUCUGAGACUCAAGCUCAUGGACCUCAUGCUUGCCAGGCAGAUGUUGUACCACUGAGCUAAAUUUCCGGCCCAGGCAUGUGUUUCUAAAUUUCCUGCAAUUUGUUAGAAGAAAAAACAAGGGAAACAAACAUGGUGGAGCCCAUGUGGAUCCAAAAUGGGCAGCCAGUCAUGUGACAAGACAAGAUGGCAGUUUUUAACUAAGAAACCUACAUGGUGCGUGUCCAUCACUCCACGUGGCCUCCAGACACACUCAAGAGACACGGAGCCUGGCCCACAGGACCUGAGAUGCACGAAGCAGCUGCUGGUGUAACACGGAGUUUACAGGAAAAAGUUUUUUUAUAAGUAGAAUGAGUACAUUUUAAUAACAAUAAAAAUAUAGUA